GGCCUCGUAGCUCAGUCUGCUAGAGCAUUGGUUGUACUAAAGCCUUCCCCUUGCUGGCAUGGGUUCAAAUCCCACCGAGGACA
rnacentral:tRNA from 1 species